GGUACUAUUAUCCUAGGAGAAGAAUGUAUCCACAAGUGUGAAAGACUGGAAUGCUGACGACUCAAACAAUCCAGGUGCAAACUGUAAAUGUG